rnacentral:rRNA from 1 species
GAUGAACGCUGGCGGCGUGCCUAAUACAUGCAAGUCGAGCGAACAGACGAGGAGCUUGCUCCUCUGACGUUAGCGGCGGACGGGGGAGUAAUACGUGGAUAACCUACCUAUAAGACUGGGAUAACUUCGGGAAACCGGAGCUAAUACCGGGUAAUAUAUUGAACCGCAUGGUUCAAUAGUGAAAGACGGAUUUGCUGUCACUUAUAGAUGGAUCCGCGCCGGAUUAGCUUGUUGGUAAGGUAACGGCUUACCAAGGCAACGAUGCGUAGCCGACCUGAGAGGGUGAUCGGCCACCACAGAGCUGAGGCGCGGUCCAGACUCCUACGGGAGGCGGCAGUAGGGAAUCUUCCGGAAUGGGCGAAGGCCUGACGGAGCAACGCCGCGGGAGUGAUGAAGGUCUUCGGAUCGUAAAACUCUGUUAUUAGGGAAGAACAAAUGUGUAAGUAACUAUGCACGUCUUGACGGUACCUAAUCAGAAAGCCACGGCUAACUACGUG